GACAGAGGGUGCAACCGUUGUUCGGAAUUACUGGGCGUAAAGCGCGUGUAGGCGGCCCGGCAAGUCGGAUGUGAAAGCCCUGGGCUUAACCUAGGAAGUGCAUUCGAAACUCCCGUGGCUUGAGUUCUGGAGAGGGAAGCGGAAUUCUCGGUGUAGAGGUGAAAUUCGUAGAUAUCGAGAGGAACACCGGUGGCGAAGGCGGCUAUCUGGACGGUGACUGACGCUGAGACGCGAAAGCGUGGGGAGCAAACAGG
rnacentral:rRNA from 1 species